rnacentral:rRNA from 1 species
GGUGGUUCCGCAUGGAAGGGCCAUCGCUCAACGGAUAAAAGCUACCCCGGGGAUAACAGGCUUAUCUCCCCCAAGAGUUCACAUCGACGGGGAGGUUUGGCACCUCGAUGUCGGCUCAUCGCAUCCUGGGGCUGUAGUCGGUCCCAAGGGUUGGGCUGUUCGCCCAUUAAAGCGGUACGCGAGCUGGGUUCAGAACGUCGUGAGACAGUUCGGUCCCUAUCCGUCGUGGGCGUAGGAAAUUUGAGAGGAGCUGUCCUUAGUACGAGAGGACCGGGAUGGACAUACCUCUGGUGUACCAGUUGUCGUGCCAACGGCAUAGCUGGGUAGCUAUGUGUGGACGGGAUAAGUGCUGAAAGCAUCUAAGCAUGAAGCCCCCCUCAAGAUGAGAUUUCCCAACUUCGGUUAUAAGAUCCCUCAAAGAUGAUGAGGUUAAUAGGUUCGAGGUGGAAGCAUGGUGACAUGUGGAGCUGACGAAUACUAAUCGAUCGAAGACUUAAU